UACGAAGGGGGCUAGCGUUGCUCGGAAUCACUGGGCGUAAAGGGCGCGUAGGCGGCCAGAUUAGUCAGGCGUGAAAGCCCUGGGCUCAACCCGGGGACUGCGCUUGAGACGGUAUGGCUUGAGGGUGGAAGAGGCUCGCGGAAUUCCCAGUGUAGAGGUGAAAUUCGUAGAUAUUGGGAAGAACACCGGUGGCGAAGGCGGCGAGCUGGUCCAUCACUGACGCUGAGGCGCGACAGCGUGGGGAGCAAACAGG
rnacentral:rRNA from 1 species